CUAUAUACUGAAGGAAGAUAGGAAGGCUCAAAAUAGGAAUGUUAAUAUACUAGUUGCCAACCCCAAAGUGAACACAAUAGUUUGACCGCUCAGUGUUCAGAUGGCGUUGUAGGUAUAUCGCAGGUCGUCUGUUUGUUUAUAUUUAAAAUUUGACAGUUGACACAAACGAAAUCGUGGCGCCAACAGUGAAUAAGUCACACAAAUGUGUUGUUUGCAAUAAACGAGAGAAACCGAUCCUCAAUAAGUGUUUCACAGAUGCUUGAUAUGGAGGAACCUCAUCCAAAUUCAGGAGUUGAGGCAAAAAACCUCACGACAACUAAAUUGAAGGUAGUAUUGUGUGUGCAGCAGGCAUUUCUCCACCAAAAAAUAACUUCAUCCAGCUUCUGACAAACACUGCCACAAUGCCUGCCCAGAUCAACAUGUGGAAGGUUCUACUAGCUGCACCAGAUCAGAUGUUGACCUUAUAAAGAUAAAUACAUCAAUAGAUUUACACCACCAAGCAAAUUACACAUCAAACUAGUUGCUGACUUAUCCACACGAGAAUUUGCACAACCUUGAAUAUGUUAAUCUUGUAGGUAUCAUUCCUGCUCUGGAGAAUAGAUCAUCUGACAUAAGAGCUUCAUCCCUGAAACAUGGUAAAUGGUCUAUGCUUUUGGUAGAUAUUCCAGUUUUGCUUUUACUAACUAGAAUUCAUAUAGUAGGUAAAGAUUGACCUUUAAGAUUUUGUUAUAUUAUGCUACACAUAUAUUCACUUUGUCUUCAGUGAAAAAGUGUUAGACUAAUUGUUGUAUUAUGGCUAUAAGGUUCAUCUAUCAACUGACCAGUGAAAAUUCCAAAGAAGAUUGUGAAAAUAUUGAAUUAAGUGAAAAUGUUCAAUCAGAUAUUGGUAAGAAAAUCUU